AAAAGUAAUAUUGAUAUCAAUACCAUAUUUCAUAAUGAUAUAUGGAAGCAUUUAGUAUAAUGACAGGUGAAAAAUUUACAUAAUUUAUCAUGGUUUUAAAUUUCAAAUGUAAAAUUUAAAUUAAACAUAAAUUUUCAAUUAGAUAUGGAAGUCUGUUAAACAAAUUUAUAAAUACUAAUUCAGAAACUUAUUUGAUUGGAUGUUUGGAGCAUUUCCAAAAUUUAUUUACCGUCUAAUGUACACUUAUUGACAAACAUGAUAACCUUAGAGUUUAACAAAUUUUACAUGUUUCUGCAAUUGUACUUUUCAAUAUAUAAUGAAGUGAAUAAGAACUGGCUAAGGGACUUUUGAUUCAUUCCUCCGCACUUUUGAUAUGAUUUAAAGUGAAGACAACAAUAGUUGUAUAUGCUACAUCUAAGUCAUUCCCAUUGAUUAUUUCUGUGAUAAAUGAUUUACUGCUGAUUAAUAUUAUCGCAUUAUUCCGUCCUGAUGAUCGGUAUAAUUUUUGAUUUAUACAUAUUUUUAAACAUAGUAUUGAAGAUAAACUUGACUGCUGAUUAUUAUAUUUGAACCAUCCAUUUUUAAAUCGAUAUUUGUUAUAUUAUAUUUUAUAUUGAUGUGUACUAUCAAAUUUUUACAUUCCUGGUAAUUUACAUGUUAAUAUUCAACUAACUAAUGUGCAUUUUUUGUGCAAAAAUGUUUAUAUUGAUAUAGUUUCACAACUUAUUUCAACAUGUAUAUUAAUUGUGCCUCAACAAUCAUUUUGUAUAAUUUUCAAUUCACAAUGAAUUUACCUACAUGAGGAACACUUAACAUGUUUGUUUAUUGUUUUAUUCCAUAUUAUCAUUCAAACUUUUUACUCAGAGGAAAUUUCAAACUGCAAACAUACUAAACAAAUAAAUAUAGAAAGAGAUACAUGUGCAUUGUAUUUUAACACUUGAUACAUGUUGAAAUAAUAAUUGUUCAUACAUAACAUAAUCUUUUGAGUUUUAUUGACAGUUUUGAUUUUAGCAGUUAUAAAUGGUUUCUUUGAAAAUAUGAGCAAAAAUAUUUUUAAGGUACGUGGUACCAAACACCUUGGCUAUCAUGGCUAUAAUUAAUUUGGCUCGUUUAAUUUUCAUAAAAUUUUGACAAAAUAUAUACUAUGACCCUUUGAAAAAAAAAUUCAAAAUUUCAAAAAACUUGAGCUAAUCACUCUAUCUGGAAAAUUUCAUUGGCUAUAAAGCAGUUUGACAAACACUAAUUUUGAUCAUUGAGAAGCUUAUUUCUUUAACAAUACACCAUGAUUAAAACGUUUAGCUGAUUUUAUAGAGUUAUCUCCCUGUAGUAUUAGGUACCACCUUAAAUAUUAAUUCUUUAAUUGUCAAUGAAGUAUUCAAUUCAUGAUUUUUCAUUUAAAGAUUGCCAAACUGAUAGGAAGAGGUUGAUGAUAUUUUGAUUAUGAGGAGUCAAGUUUAGUUGAUUCCAAAUCAGAUUUAACUUUUCAAUCUCUUAUUUAAUACAAACUUCAAUCAUUCAACACAUGGAUAAUUGACAAAAUGAACAAUUAAGGGUAAAUUGGUUUUGUAGCUAUCAGGGUAAAGUCAUGUAAAGCUAACUUGUCUGAUGUAAAUGUACUUAUUUUGUCCCACUGUAGUAGCUGUUCCACUUUUGCUAAAAAAAAUAAUGUAAUAUUUAUUUAUGUUUUUUGUAGGCUAGUCUUUUGAAAAUGGGUAAAAAAUAACCUGAUUUAUGUAUUUAAUGUAUGUAUUUAAUAUUUGUCAUGUGAGAAUUUAUGCUGUUAUUAAUGUAACUAAUAGUCUACAGGUCUAAUGAAUACAAUAGUUCACACUUAUUGGGUUGAAUGUAACCUAUUAAAAUUAUGACAUAAACUGAAUGUAUGAUGAAAAAAAAAUUGCCUGAAGUUUUAAUUUUGACAUUUGAAGUGAUAUUUGAUGAACACAUCUGCACAAAACUAUAAACAAUUAAACAUUAUGCUUACAUUGUUUGAAAUAUCAGUACAGACACUAGAAAGAGUUAAAAAAGAAAGGCUUCCCAAUUUUUUUCUCCUGAUUUAUAAAGAGUAUUAGUAAAGGAUAUAAGAGCCAUUAUUUAGAUUAUGAAGAUGCAAAAAUGGUAAAAUUACUCUAGCCUUUUUAAAAUUAUGUCAAUUUUAUUGAUAAAUGAAAAGGUUCUUUCGGGGUGCAAAAAAUAAUAAACCUCAUAAUACCUUCUCCUUUGAUAUUUCUCAACAAUGUAUGUAUAGUGUUUUCAUCCUGCAAUUUAACAUUGAAUUUUUAUUAUUUUAAUUCCAAAUAUUUCAAUCUUUAUACAUUGGUAUGACGUUGGGGUCGUUGUCUUUGUCGUCGUCCGAAGACAUUUGGUUUUCACACUAUAACUUUAGUAUAAGUAAAUAGAAAUCUAUGAAAUUUUAACACAAGGUUUAUGACCAUAAAAGGAAGGUUGGGAUUGAUUUUUGGAGUUUUGGUCUCAACAGUUUAGGAAUUAGGUGCCAAAAAAGGUCCAAAUAAGCAUUUUUCUUGGUUUUUGCACAAUAACUUAAGUAUAAGUGAACAGAAAUCUAUGAAAUUUUAACAUAAGGUUUAUGAUCACAAAAGAAAGUUUGGGAUUGAUUUUGGGAGUUUUGGUCCCAACUGUUUAGGAAUUAUGGUCCAAAAAAGGGUCCCAAAUAAGCAUUUUUCUUGGUUUUUUGCACAAUAACUUUAGUAUAAGUAAAUAGAAAUCUAUGAAAUUUUAACACAAGGUUUAAGACCACAAAAGGAAGGUUGGGAUUGAUUUUGGGAGUUUUGGUUCUGACAGUUUAGGAAUUAGGGUCCAAAAGGGUCCAAAAAAUGAAUUAUUGGGGUUCUUUGAUAUGCCAAAUAUAACCGUGUAUUUAGAUUCUUAAUUUUUGGUCCUGUUUUCAAAUUGGUCUACAUUAGGUCCAAAGGGUCCAUAAUUAAACUUAGUUUGAUUUUAACAAAAAUUGAACUAUGGGGUUCUUUGAUAUGCUGAAUCUAAACAUGUACUUAGAUUUUUGAUUAUGGGCCCAGUUUUCAAGUUGGUCCAAAUCGAAGUCCAAAAUUAAACUUUGUUUGAUAUCAACGAAAAUUGAAUGUGGGGUUCUUUAAUAUGCUGAAUCUAACCAUGUAUUUAGAUUUUUAAUAUUUGGUCCACAUUGAGUAGUGAAGGGUCUAAAAUUGAACAUUAUUUGAUUUCAUCAAAAAUUGAGUUCUUGGGGUUCUAUGAUAUGCUGAAUCUAAUCAUGUAUUUAGAUUUUGGAUAUUGGACCAUAAUAGGUAAUGUCCGAUUUAAAAUUUUUAAGUUUUUAAGUUUAAGUUCUUAGACCACAUUCAUUCUGUGUCAGAAACCUAUGUUGUGUCAACUAUUUAAUCACAAUUCAAAUUCAGAGCUGUAUCAAGCUUAAAUGUUGUGUACAAACUUGCCCCAACUGUUCAGGGUUCGACCUCUGCGGUCGUAUAAAGCUGCGCCCUGUGGAGCAUCUGGUUUACAUUGCCUAAAUUCAGACUUCAAAGAAAUAAAAAUUAACUGACUUUAAACAGUAAUUUUAACAUUACCAUUCACUUAAAAUAGCAGGAUACUUGGUACUAUUAUGUGUAUAUUAUACAAAUACAAAACAUUUUUAUCUGUACAAUAGUCAAUACACCAUUGUGAUUCCCAGCCGAAAUAUGUAUGCUAUUUUCAUGACAUUGUUGACCAUGAUGACAUUGGUCGUAGUUGUUUAUUUUAUUUAAUUUUGUAAUUAUUAUCUUACGGUACUUUGAUAAUUAUAUAUAUAUUUUUUAAUUGAAAAUGUUAACAAAGCAUACUUACAUAAAAUACUGCUGAAUUUAAAAGAUGAAAUGUGCCUUUGUUUAGAACCAGUUACUUUUGAGAUAGACAUUUAAGUUUUAAAUGUGUUUGAGAUAGACAUUUAAGUUUUAAAUGUGUAUCAAGGUGAACAAUUGUAACCCCUGCCAUCUAGUAUAUUUUCAUUUAGUUAUCAAAGAAUAUAAUCUAUAUUAAAUAAUUAAAAAAAUUGAAAAUCAAAUAUUUUUGUUAAUGUUUGAUGACAUAUAUUUUUUUUUAAUUUUAUUUUGAACGUGUGUUUAAAUCUUUCAAGAAGAUUGAAGAAAAAGUACACUGCAAUUUUUAUUUCCUUGUACGUGUUAAAGUUGAAAUCUUAUCCAUUUAUUUUACCACUGUGAGCACCAAAUCACUGCGUAUCAACCACCACACAAACAAUUCAUUGUAUUUUAUUAUAAUUAAGCAUUAGUUUUUUUACCAGUGAAAGAACUUUUUUUUAUCUUUAAUAGAUUAUUUUUUAGAUUUAUUAUUUUAGCCAUUUUGACCAGCCAUUGUUACCAGUCAUAUUUUGUUUUACAAUAAAUGUUGAUAGUUUAAAUGUUUUGUUUUAAAUCAACCCAUAAAGUUGAUGUUCAUCUUCUUCUCCAGUAGAGGAUCAAGAUAUUAGUGGUAGUUAUACAUAAAAUUUCACAUUUGGUCAAGGUUUAAGUGUAAGAGAAUUCCCUGCAAAUUUUUAAGUCAAGAUUGCAUGAAAUGCAAUCAAAACCUUAUGGGACUGACUUGAUAUCUAAAUCUUCC
rnacentral:lncRNA from 1 species